rnacentral:rRNA from 1 species
CGUGGCGGGGGUGCCUAAUACAUGCAAGUCGAACGCUUUGUGGUUCAACUGAUUUGAAGAGCUUGCUCAGAUAUGACGAUGGACAUUGCAAAGAGUGGCGAACGGGUGAGUAACACGUGGGAAACCUACCUCUUAGCAGGGGAUAACAUUUGGAAACAGAUGCUAAUACCGUAUAACAAUGACAACCGCAUGGUUGUUAUUUAAAAGAUGGUUCUGCUAUCACUAAGAGAUGGUCCCGCGGUGCAUUAGCUAGUUGGUAAGGUAAUGGCUUACCAAGGCGAUGAUGCAUAGCCGAGUUGAGAGACUGAUCGGCCACAAUGGGACUGAGACACGGCCCAUACUCCUACGGGAGGCAGCAGUAGGGAAUCUUCCACAAUGGGCGAAAGCCUGAUGGAGCAACGCCGCGUGUGUGAUGAAGGGUUUCGGCUCGUAAAACACUGUUGUAAGAGAAGAAUGACAUUGAGAGUAACUGUUCAAUGUGUGACGGUAUCUUACCAGAAAGGAACGGCUAAAUACGUGCCAGCAGCCGCGGUAAUACGUAUGUUCCAAGCGUUAUCCGGAUUUAUUGGGCGUAAAGCGAGCGCAGACGGUUAUUUAAGUCUGAAGUGAAAGCCCUCAGCUCAACUGAGGAAUUGCUUUGGAAACUGGAUGACUUGAGUGCAGUAGAGGAAAGUGGAACUCCAUGUGUAGCGGUGAAAUGCGUAGAUAUAUGGAAGAACACCAGUGGCGAAGGCGGCUUUCUGGACUGUAACUGACGUUGAGGCUCGAAAGUGUGGGUAGCAAACAGGAUUAGAUACCCUGGUAGUCCACACCGUAAACGAUGAGUGCUAGGUGUUUGAGGGUUUCCGCCCUUAAGUGCCGCAGCUAACGCAUUAAGCACUCCGCCUGGGGAGUACGACCGCAAGGUUGAAACUCAAAGGAAUUGACGGGGACCCGCACAAGCGGUGGAGCAUGUGGUUUAAUUCGAAGCAACGCGAAGAACCUUACCAGGUCUUGACAUCCCUUGACAACUCCAGAGAUGGAGCGUUCCCUUCGGGGACAAGGUGACAGGUGGUGCAUGGUUGUCGUCAGCUCGUGUCGUGAGAUGUUGGGUUAAGUCCCGCAACGAGCGCAACCCUUAUUACUAGUUGCCAGCAUUCAGUUGGGCACUCUAGUGAGACUGCCGGUGACAAACCGGAGGAAGGUGGGGAUGACGUCAAAUCAUCAUGCCCCUUAUGACCUGGGCUACACACGUGCUACAAUGGCGUAUACAACGAGUUGCCAACCCGCGAGGGUGAGCUAAUCUCUUAAAGUACGUCUCAGUUCGGAUUGUAGGCUGCAACUCGCCUACAUGAAGUCGGAAUCGCUAGUAAUCGCGGAUCAGCACGCCGCGGUGAAUACGUUCCCGGGUCUUGUACACACCGCCCGUCACACCAUGAGAGUUUGUAACACCCAAAGCCGGUGGGGUAACCUUCGGGAGCCAGCCGUCUAAGGUGACAGAA